UACGAAGGGGGCGAGCGUUGUUCGGAAUUACUGGGCGUAAAGGGCGCGUAGGCGGUGCACCAAGUCAGGCGUGAAAGCCCCGGGCUCAACCUGGGAACUGCAAUGGAAACUGGCGGGCUUGAGUGUGGCAGAGGGGGGUGGAAUUCCGCGUGUAGCAGUGAAAUGCGUAGAGAUGCGGAGGAACACCGAUGGCGAAGGCAGCCCCCUGGGCCAACACUGACGCUCAGGCACGAAAGCGUGGGGAGCAAACAGG
rnacentral:rRNA from 1 species